rnacentral:rRNA from 1 species
ACGUAGGGGGCUAGCGUUAUCCGGAAUUACUGGGCGUAAAGGGUGCGUAGGUGGUUUCUUAAGUCAGAGGUGAAAGGCUACGGCUCAACCGUAGUAAGCCUUUGAAACUGAGAAACUUGAGUGCAGGAGAGGAAAGCGGAAUUCCCAGUGUAGCGGUGAAAUGCGUAGAGAUUGGGAGGAACACCAGUGGCGAAGGCGGCUUUCUGGACCGGUAUUGACGCUGAGGAGCGAAAGCCAGGGGAGCAAACGG